GACGUAGGGGGCCAGCGUUGUUCGGAAUUACUGGGUGUAAAGGGUUCGUAGGCGGUGCGGCAAGUUGGGAGUGAAAUCUCUGGGCUUAACCCAGAGGCUGCUUCCAAAACUGCUGUGCUUGAGUGUGGGAGAGGCGCGUGGAAUUGCAGGUGUAGCGGUGAAAUGCGUAGAUAUCUGCAGGAACACCCGUGGCGAAAGCGGCGCGCUGGACCACUACUGACGCUGAGGAACGAAAGCUAGGGGAGCAAAAAGG
rnacentral:rRNA from 1 species